GAUUUCUGGUUGAACGGGUCUGGCCCGCCAUCGUAAGAUUGGUGAGUGCUGCGAUCAUGUUUGCCAUCCUUCUAGUUCGCUUGUCGGUCAUGCUUCGGUGUGACCGGCUUGAAUAACGGACUAGAUCUUUUACUUUGAAAAAAUUAGAGUGUUUAAAGCAGGCAUUUUGCUCUGAAUACAUUAGCAUGGAAUAAUAAUUUAGGACUUCGGUUCUAUUUUGUUGGUUUCUAUAACUGAAGUAAUGAUUGAUAGGGAUAGUUGGGGGUGCUAGUAUUGGCCGGCCAGAGGUGAAAUUCUUGGAUUCGGUCAAGACUAACUUAUGCGAAAGCAUU
rnacentral:rRNA from 1 species